UACGUAGGGGGCGAGCGUUGUCCGGAUUUAUUGGGCGUAAAGAGCUCGUAGGCGGUUUGUCGAGUCUGGGGUGAAAGUCCGGGGCUCAACUCCGGAUCUGCGGUGGGUACGGGCAGACUAGAGUGAUGUAGGGGAGACUGGAAUUCCUGGUGUAGCGGUGAAAUGCGCAGAUAUCAGGAGGAACACCGAUGGCGAAGGCAGGUCUCUGGGCAUUAACUGACACUGAGGCGCGAAAGCGUGGGGAGCAAACAGG
rnacentral:rRNA from 1 species